rnacentral:rRNA from 1 species
UACGAAGGGGGCUAGCGUUGUUCGGAAUUACUGGGCGUAAAGGGCGCGUAGGCGGUUUGCUAAGUUGGAUGUGAAAACUCUGGGCUUAACCCAGAGCCUGCAUCCAAAACUGGCAAACUUGAGUACUGGAGGGGAAAGCGGAAUUCCCGGUGUAGCGGUGAAAUGCGCAGAUAUCGGGAGGAACACCGGUGGCGAAGGCGGUUCUCUGGGCCUGUACUGACGCUGAGGAGCGAAAGCGUGGGGAGCGAACAGG